GCGUUGCUCAGAGCUCUGCAUCAACUCCAGCACUCAACAUACCCCAGCAGGGAUUUGCUCUUGUCUGCGGGAAUUGCUUUCAUCACUUCACCGCUAAAGUGAAUACCUUGUAAAGCUGUUGCAGUUGAAGGUAUCAAACAGCUGCUCAAGCCCGGCAGAGAAAAAGCCAAGCUCUGCGAUCAAGUGGUUGUGAUGUGCUACCCUGUGAAAAGCAAAAAUGCUCUCCUUCAGCAGCAAAUAGGGGCAAAUGUGGGAGGCAAGCCCGCAUCGGAUGCCCGUCCCGGCGGCGUGAGGCGGACGGUGGGGUUCGGGCGCUGCAGAGACCCAGAGGCACGGAGCUCUAGCGUGUGCUUGCCGUGUCGCUGUACACAGGAAUAAAUGAUGGGAAUACGUAGAUAUUUUAUUAUUUAGCGAUGGCGAAAGGAAAGCUUUUAGGCUGCCGUGGAGCUCGCUGGCUCUUUUCUCACUAAAAUUCCCAUUUGCCUCGGGCUACGACCUGUUAUUUGACCUUUAGACACCCUGGAAGACAGCAGAGUUUUCCUUUCAAAGCAGCGAUAAGGCGAAGGAUGGGAUGACUCGGACGAGAGGACCCGGGCCCGGGCCCCUGGCCAGCCGAGGGCCGAGCAGCCCUCUGGUUGGGGCGGGGUCAGGGGGGAGUCCAGGGUGACACGCGUUCAUUUUGAUUUCAUUUGAAAACAUUUGGUGGUUGUAGAUCUUUCUCUGGUUUGUUGCAUCACCACAGCUCACCCCUUAAAACAGUAAUUCAAGAUGUAAGUAAAAGUGUUUUCAUUUUUAUUGAUCCUGCUAACAUCUUUCAUUACCCAACACGUAACCACAACAAAUGAUUGCUCAUUUGAU